AUCACAUUAGUCAAAAGGAAUAAACAUUCACAAACCCAGAUAUUGAUUGCUAAACAAUAAACAUGAUUUUGAUCUGUUUAAUCCAUCUCAUAACAUUUUUGAAAAAAUUGAUUUGAUGCCGGGGCAAUGCUGAAUGGACAGACGAACAAGUUGCAGACACUUAACAGGGAAAACAGUCGCCAUAAACAAUGCACCUUGCCUGAUGAAGUGCUAACAGAUGAAGUAAGGACUCCGGAGGCUCUGGGGCGACUAUCCAUUUUAGGACACUCGCGUAAAUGGCUCAAACUGAGGGCUCAAGUCUUCA
rnacentral:misc_RNA from 1 species